rnacentral:rRNA from 1 species
GGGGAAUAACCCGGCGAAAGUCGGACUAAUACCGCAUAAAACAGGGGUUCCACAUGGAAAUAUUUGUUAAAGAAUUAUCGCUGAUAGAUGGGCAUGCGUUCCAUUAGAUGGGUGGUGAGGUAACGGCUCACCAAGUCCACGAUGGAUAGGGGUUCUGAGAGGAAGGUCCCCCACACUGGUACUGAGACACGGACCAGACUCCUA